rnacentral:misc_RNA from 1 species
UAUUUCUUACUCUUAGGCGUAGGUGACCUGCGGAGGAUCAUUACCGAGUUGAUUCGGGCUCCGUCCCGAUCCUCCCACCCUUUGUAUACCUACCUCUGUUGCUUUGGCGGGCCGCGGUCUUCCGCGGCCGCCCCCCGAUUUUGGGGGGUGGCUAGUGCCCGCCAGAGGACUAUCAAACUCCAGUCAGUAAACGUUGCAGUCUGAAAAAAAUAUUAAAUAAACUAAAACUUUCAACAACGGAUCUCUUGGUUCUGGCAUCGAUGAAGAACGCAGCGAAAUGCGAUAAGUAAUGUGAAUUGCAGAAUUCAGUGAAUCAUCGAAUCUUUGAACGCACAUUGCGCCCCUUGGUAUUCCGGGGGGCAUGCCUGUUCGAGCGUCAUUUCAACCCUCAAGCUCUGCUUGGUAUUGGGCACCGUCCUUUGCGGGCGCGCCUCAAAGACCUCGGCGGUGGCGUCUUGCCUCAAGCGUAGUAGAAUACACCUCGCUUCGGAGCGUAAGGCGUCGCCCGCCGGACGAACCUUCUGAACUUUUCUCAAGGUUGACCUCGGAUCAGGUAGGGAUACCCGCUGAACUUAAGCAUAUCAUAAGCGCGAAAGGAA